CAGAUCUGUCCUUGUCCAGAGAGCAUCACACAGCAACCACAUCCCUCCCCUACAGAAGCCCCAGAGCACAGCACCUCACCAUGGACUGGACCUGGAGACUCUUCCUCUUGGUGGCAGCAGCUACAGGCGCCCACUCCCAGGUGCAGCUGGUGCAGUCUGGGGCUGAGGUGAGGAAGCCUGGGGCCUCAGUGAAGGUCUCCUGCAAGGCUUCUGGAUACACCUUCACCGACUACUACCUGAACUGGGUGCGACAGGCCCCUGGACAAGGGCUUGAGUGGAUGGGACGAGUCAACCCAAAAACUGGUGGCACAGACUAUGCACAGAAGUUCCAGGACAGAGUCACUAUGACCAGAGACACAUCGACGAGCACAGCCUACAUGGAGCUGAGCAGCCUGACAUCUGAGGACACGGCUGUGUAUUACUGUACAAUGGACACAGUGUGAAAACCCACAUCCUGAGAGUGUCAGAAACCCUGAGGGAGGAGGCAGCUGCGCGGGGGCUGAGGAGAUGACAGGAUUUAUGAGGUUUAAACCUGUUUAGAAAAUGUGUUAAGUAAUUGACGAAAAGAAGCAAUAGAAAGACGUAUACACUCUAAUUAUAUAGGGAAUAUUAUUUUCAACUUUCACCCUGUAAGUAACAUUCAUGGAGUGGGAAAGGCAGCAAUCAAUCAGGCUGAUGCAAACAUUCCCAUGGAGGCUUUGUGGGGACAUAAAUUUUAAAACUGAAUGGAUACAUCUCUUGGAGCAGGAUUACUUGAUCACAAGGUAAGACUAAAUAUGAUUUCUAAGAAGUGGCCGACAUUUCUUCCUAAAUGUCUUUGCCACUCCCUUUACAUUGCAUUUAUUUGAAAGCCCUUUUUAAGAUCACAGCAAAG